UGCGUAGGCGGCUUAGAAAGUUGGGUGUGAAAUCCCUCGGCUCAACCGAGGAAUUGCGCCCAAAACUACUAGGCUUGAGGGAGGCAGAGGUAAGCGGAACUAAUGGUGGAGCGGUGAAAUGCGUUGAUAUCAUUAGGAACACCUGAGGCGAAAGCAGCUUACUGGGCCUCUUCUGACGCUGAGGCACGAAAGCUAGGGGAGCGAACAGGAUUAGAUACCCUGGUAGUCC
rnacentral:rRNA from 1 species